rnacentral:rRNA from 1 species
AGACGGAGGGCGCAAGCGUUGUUCGGAAUUACUGGGCGGAAAGGGCAGGUAGGUGGUCUGUUAAGUCUUCUGUGAAAAUCCGGGGCUCAACCCCGCGAAAUGCAGGUGAAACUGGCAGACUAGAGACCGGUAGAGGCUAGCGGAAUUCCUGGUGUAGCGGUGGAAUGCGUAGAUAUCAGGAAGAACACCUGUGGCGAAGGCGGCUAGCUGGGCCGGUUCUGACACUAAACUGCGAAAGCGUGGGGAGCAAACAGGAUUAGAAACCCCGGUAGUCC